GCGGCAGGCGGUUGGAUCGCACCUUAGGUUCGCACCUUAGGGCUUGGGGGUUCGAAUCCCCCCUGCCGCG
rnacentral:tRNA from 1 species